ensembl:snRNA U6 U6 spliceosomal RNA
GUGCUCUCUUUGGCAGCACACAUACUAAAAUUGGAAUGAUACAAAGAAGAUUAGCAUGGCCCUGUGCAAGGAUGAUACACAAAUUCAUGAAGUAUUUCAUAUUUGA